rnacentral:rRNA from 1 species
CUUGAGUUAAAAACAUAAGAGGUCCAGCCUGCCCAGUGAUUAAAUUUAACGGCCGCGGUAUCCUAACCGUGCGAAGGUAGCGUAAUCACUUGUUCUUUAAAUGAGGACUAGUAUGAAUGGCACCACGAAGGUUUUACUGUCUCCUUUUCCUAAUCAGUGAAACUAAUCUUCCCGUGAAGAAGCGGGAAUAAACGAAUAAGACGAGAAGACCCUAUGGAGCUUUAAACACAAUAACAAAUACUACUUUAAACAAAAAUUUCUUAAUGACUUACUUACUGGUAUUAUGAUUAUUAGUUUUAGGUUGGGGUGACCGCGGAGAAAAACACAACCUCCACAUUGAAUGAUAAAAUUCUAAGCAAAGAAUUACAUUUCCACGCAUCAAUACAUUGACAUCAAUUGACCCAAUUAUUUUGAUCAACGAAC